AACGAACGCUGGCGGCAUGCCUAACACAUGCAAGUCGAACGAGACCUUCGGGUCUAGUGGCGCACGGGUGCGUAACGCGUGGGAAUCUGCCCCUUGGUUCGGAAUAACAGCGAGAAAUUGCUGCUAAUACCGGAUAAUGACGUAAGUCCAAAGAUUUAUCGCCAAGGGAUGAGCCCGCGUAGGAUUAGCUAGUUGGUGUGGUAAAAGGCGCACCAAAGGCGACGAUCCUUAGCUGGUCUGAGAGGAUGAUCAGCCACACUGGGACUGAGACACGGCCCAGACUCCUACGGGAGGCAGCAGUGGGGAAUUUUGGACAAUGGCGCAAGCCUGAUCCAGCAAUGCCGCGUGCAGGAUGAAGGCCUCGGUUGUAACUAG
rnacentral:rRNA from 1 species